CAAGCCGUAAAUGAUGUUCGCUAGAUGUUUGUCUCGCUCUGCGGGAUGAGUGUCGUACCUAACGGGUUAAGCGAAUCGCCUGGGAAGUAUACUCGCAAGAGUGAAACUCAAAGGGAUAGGCGGGGGAACACACAAGCAGUGGAUUAUCUAGAUUAAUUGGAUAAUAAGCCAAGAAUCUUACCUAGGCUUGACAUAAGAUGUGUCAUCCGAGAAAUCGGAUUAUUUGUAGCAAUACAAAGCUUUUUACAGGUGG
rnacentral:rRNA from 1 species